UACCAGCUCUCCGAGUGGUGUGGAUGUUUAUUGGGCCUAAAGCAUCCGUAGCUGGCUGGGCAAGUCCCCUGUUAAAUCCACCGAUUUAAUCGUUGGUGUGCGGGGGAUACUGUUCGGCUAGGGGACGGGAGAGGCCGACGGUAUUUUCGGGGUAGGGGUGAAAUCCUAUAAUCCCGGGAAGACCACCAGUGGCGAAGGCUGUCGGCUAGAACGCGCCCGACGGUGAGGGAUGAAAGCUGGGGGAGCGAACCGGAUUAGAUACCCGGGUAGUCCCAGCUGUAAACGAUGCAGGCUAGGUGUUUGGGCGGCCACGUGCCGCUCCAGUGCCGCAGAGAAGUCGUUAAGCCUGCCGCCUGGGGAGUACGGCCGCAAGGCUGAAACUUAAAGGAAUUGGCGGGGAGCACCACAAGGGGUGAAGCUUGCGGUUU
rnacentral:rRNA from 1 species